GCUCAGGACGAACGCUGGCGGCGUGCCUAAUACAUGCAAGUCGAACGCUUUUUCUUUCACCGGAGCUUGCUCCACCGAAAGAAAAAGAGUGGCGAACGGGUGAGUAACACGUGGGUAACCUGCCCAUCAGAAGGGGAUAACACUUGGAAACAGGUGCUAAUACCGUAUAACACUAUUUUCCGCAUGGAAGAAAGUUGAAAGGCGCUUUUGCGUCACUGAUGGAUGGACCCGCGGUGCAUUAGCUAGUUGGUGAGGUAACGGCUCACCAAGGCAACGAUGCAUAGCCGACCUGAGAGGGUGAUCGGCCACACUGGGACUGAGACACGGCCCAGACUCCUACGGGAGGCAGCAGUAGGGAAUCUUCGGCAAUGGACGAAAGUCUGACCGAGCAACGCCGCGUGAGUGAAGAAGGUUUUCGGAUCGUAAAACUCUGUUGUUAGAGAAGAACAAGGAUGAGAGUAAAACGUUCAUCCCUUGACGGUAUCUAACCAGAAAGCCACGGCUAACUACGUGCCAGCAGCCGCGGUAAUACGUAGGUGGCAAGCGUUGUCCGGAUUUAUUGGGCGUAAAGCGAGCGCAGGCGGUUUCUUAAGUCUGAUGUGAAAGCCCCCGGCUCAACCGGGGAGGGUCAUUGGAAACUGGGAGACUUGAGUGCAGAAGAGGAGAGUGGAAUUCCAUGUGUAGCGGUGAAAUGCGUAGAUAUAUGGAGGAACACCAGUGGCGAAGGCGGCUCUCUGGUCUGUAACUGACGCUGAGGCUCGAA
rnacentral:rRNA from 1 species